rnacentral:rRNA from 1 species
AGACGGGGCCCGCACAAGCGGUGGAUGAUGUGGAUUAAUUCGAUGCAACGCGAAAACCUUACCUACCCUUGACAUGUCCGGAAUCCCGAAGAGAUUUGGGAGUGCUCGCAAGAGAGCCGGAACACAGGUGCUGCAUGGCUGUCGUCAGCUCGUGUCGUGAGAUGUUGGGUUAAGUCCCGCAACGAGCGCAACCCUUAUCAUUAGUUGCUACGCAAGGGCACUCUAAUGAGACUGCCGGUGACAAACCGGAGGAAGGUGGGGAUGACGUCAAGUCCUCAUGGCCCUUAUGGGUAGGGCUUCACACGUCAUACAAUGGUCGGUACAGAGGGUUGCCAAGCCGCGAGGUGGAGCCAAUCCCAGAAAGCCGAUCGUAGUCCGGAUUGUUCUCUGCAACUCGAGAGCAUGAAGUCGGAAUCGCUAGUAAUCGCGGAUCAGCAUGUCGCGGUGAAUACGUUCCCGGGUCUU